rnacentral:rRNA from 1 species
GGACGAACGCUGGCGGCGUGCCUAAUACAUGCAAGUCGAGCGGAUCUUCAUUAGCUUGCUUUUGAAGAUCAGCGGCGGACGGGUGAGUAACACGUGGGCAACCUGCCUGUAAGACUGGGAUAACUUCGGGAAACCGGAGCUAAUACCGGAUAAUCCUUUCCCUCACAUGAGGGAAAGCUGAAAGACGGUUUCGGCUGUCACUUACAGAUGGGCCCGCGGCGCAUUAGCUAGUUGGUGAGGUAACGGCUCACCAAGGCGACGAUGCGUAGCCGACCUGAGAGGGUGAUCGGCCACACUGGGACUGAGACACGGCCCAGACUCCUACGGGAGGCAGCAGUAGGGAAUCUUCCGCAAUGGACGAAAGUCUGACGGAGCAACGCCGCGUGAACGAUGAAGGCUUUCGGGUCGUAAAGUUCUGUUGUCAGGGAAGAACAAGUACCGGAGUAACUGCCGGUACCUUGACGGUACCUGACCAGAAAGCCACGGCUAACUACGUGCCAGCAGCCGCGGUAAUACGUAGGUGGCAAGCGUUUGUCCGGAAUUAUUGGGCGUAAAAGCGCGCGCAGGCGGUUCCUUAAGUCUGAUGUGAAAGCCCCCGGCUCAACCGGGGGAGGGUCAUUGGAAACUGGGGAACUUUGAGUGCAGAAGAGGAGAGCGGAAUUCCACGUGUAGCGGUGAAAUGCGUAAGAUGUGGAGGAACACCAGUGG